UAGGGAAUCUUCGGCAAUGGACGAAAGUCUGACCGAGCAACGCCGCGUGAGUGAAGAAGGUUUUCGGAUCGUAAAACUCUGUUGUUAGAGAAGAACAAGGACGUUAGUAACUGAACGUCCCCUGACGGUAUCUAACCAGAAAGCCACGGCUAACUACGUGCCAGCAGCCGCGGUAAUACGUAGGUGGCAAGCGUUGUCCGGAUUUAUUGGGCGUAAAGCGAGCGCAGGCGGUUUCUUAAGUCUGAUGUGAAAGCCCCCGGCUCAACCGGGGAGGGUCAUUGGAAACUGGGAGACUUGAGUGAAGAAGAGGAGAGUGGAAUUCCAUGGGUAGCGGUGAAAUGCGUAGAUAUAUGGAGGAAAACCAGUGGCGAAGGCGGCUCUCUGGUCGGUAACUGACGCUGAGGCUCGAAAGCGUGGGGAGCAAACAGG
rnacentral:rRNA from 1 species